rnacentral:tRNA from 1 species
GUUGUGGCUCAGUGGUAGAGUGCUUGCCUAGCCUGUGUGAGGCACUGGGUUCAAUUCUCAGCACCACA